CGAGGCUCUCGGCGGAGACAGAACAUGGCGGAGCUGGGAAGGGUUGCAGUUCGCGAUCCGGAUUCGCUGCUCCCUGGGGGCUUCUGGGCGGCGGUGGCCGUGUGGGUGGAGAGGCCGCAGGUGGCCAACAAGCGGCUGUGUGGCGUUCGCCUAGAGGCCCGGCGGAGCGUCUGCUUGCCCCGGGUCGAGCAUUCCGGCCCCCGGCCGAGCUCAGGCCCCGAGCCGGAGGAGCGUGCCCCGGCGGGAUGCGGGCCCAAGGAGGGGCCGGGACACGGCCAGUGUUUCCCCGAGGGGGGGCCGGGCCCUCGGCCGGGCGCAGUCCCCGAGCAGGGCCCCCAGGAGAACCAGGGCCGGCGCCAGCAAGGGGAGGACCAGCGGGAAGCAGCCAAAGCGCCUCUGCUCUCUGGGGCCCCUGGGCAGCCCGGCAAGGCUGGAGCCGGGGAGGGCGACUUCCCCGCCCCGGACCUGGAUUCUCUCUGGGACGAUUUCUCCCGGAGCCUCGCCAGCGGCAAUCGAGAGAUGCUAGCCUUCUUCACCCGCUCCGGGGCGGAAUCACAGCUAGAGGCUCAGCACGAGCUCGACGUGAUUCUCAGAACCGUCAUCCCAAAAAUGAACGCGCAUUCUUGUGCUCCGAAGAGAGAAAUAGUCGUGCAAGAUGUCCUCAAUGGAACCGUAAUUUUUUUACCUUUGGAAGAAGACAGUGAAGGGAAUUUAAAGGUUAAGACAAACAACGUGUAUCAAAUUCAGCUCAGUCAGAGCGAAGGAGAAUGGUUCAUAUCUGUUUUAAUUUUCUGUCCAGAAAGAUGGCAUUCAGAUGGCAUUGUGUAUCCCAAACCCACCUGGCUUGGAGAAGAGCUGCUGGCCAGAUUGGCCAGGUGGUGUGUGGAGAGCAGGCAGAGUGGGUUCAAAAGCACCCUGUCCCUCAUUUCCAUCAUGAAGUACAGCAGGGUUCACCAGGCGCUUAAAGAGAAGUAUAAAGACAUGACCAAGGUGUGGCCUGAAGUAACUGACCCUGAGAAGUUCGUGCAUGAAGACGUGGCUCUCGCUGCCUACCUGCUGAUUCUAUGGGAAGAAGAGAGAGCUGAGCGGGGAGAGACAGCCAGGCAGUGCUUUGUCGACCUCGGUUGUGGGAACGGCCUCCUGGUCCACAUCCUGAGCAGAGAAGGGCAUCCAGGCAGAGGGAUUGACGUCCGAAGACGAAAGGUUUGGGACAUGUACGGACCAGAGACGCACUUAGAGGAAAGUGCAAUCACACCAAAUGAUAAGACCCUCUUCCCGGACGUCGAUUGGUUAAUCGGAAACCAUUCCGAUGAACUAACGCCAUGGAUACCUGUGAUUGCGGCCAGGUCCUCCUACAACUGCCGCUUCUUUGUCCUGCCCUGCUGCUUCUUUGACUUCGUUGGGAAGUAUCAGCGGAGGCAGAGCAAGAAGACCCAGUACCGAGGGUACCUGGAUUUCAUCACCGAGGUGGGGUCGACCUGUGGCUUCCACGUAGAGGAGGAUUGUCUUAGGAUUCCUUCCACCAAGAGGGUGUGUCUCAUUGGGAAAUCCAGAACAUACCCGCCCGCUGGAGAAGAUUCUGUGGACGAGCGGAGAACCCGCUACAUUAACAGCAGGCGGGGCGGUCCUGUGAGCCCACCUGGCCAGGUCCCUGCCCCUCGUCCACCCGGGGCCGCCGCCGGUGGUGCCGAUGGCCCCGAGGGGCAUGGAGCCCUGGACGCCGGGGCCGGGCACACACCGGAGUCCCCCGCCGAAGGACUCUGGCUGUCUGGAUUUCGCCCCAGAGAAAAAGCCAAGCGCGUGAGGAACUGUGGCGCCCUCCCUCGAGAUUUUAUUGGCCGAGUGGUUUUGCAAGUGGCGAAUCUGUUGUUGGGCAGAAAGCAGUCAAACGUGACAAGCUCUCAGAGCAGGAGCGCGACGGCCUGGAGUCGGGGAGGUAACGGGCGCCCUGGGUCAGAGCAGGAGCGUGAAGGCCUGGAGUCGGGGAGGUAACGGGCGCCCUGGGUCAGAGCAGGAGCGUGAAGGCCUGGAGUCGGGGAGGUAACGGGUACCCUGGGUCAGAGCAGGAGCACGACGGCCUGGAGUCAGGGAGGUAACGGGUACCCUGGGUCAGAGCAGGAGCGCGACGGCCUGGAGUCGGGGAGGUAACGGGCGCCCUGGGUCAGAGCAGGAGCGCGAAGGCCGGUAACGGGCGCCCUGGGUCAGAGCAGGAGCACGACGGCCUGGAGUCGGGGAGGUAACGGGCGCCCUGGGUCAGAGCAGGAGCGUGAAGGCCUGGAGUCGGGGAGGUAACGGGCGCCCUGGGCACUGGCUGGGCUCCAGGCAGGGGCUCUUCUCUUCUCAGAGCCAACUUCAAACUGCGGUACGCGGGCCUCUCGCCGCUGUGGCCUCUCCCGCUGCGGAGCACAGGCUCCGGACGGACGUGCAAGCUCAGCGGCCGUGGCUCACGGGCCCAGCCGCUCUGCGGCACGCGGGACCCUCCCGGACUGGGGCACGAAACCAUGUCCCCUGCAUCGGCAGGCGGACUCUCAACCACUGCGCCGCCAGGGAAGCCCCCUUUAGUCAUUUUUUAAAUAUUUAUUUGGCCGCACCGGAUCUUAGUUGCCCGCCUGCGGGAUCUUCCUUGCGGCGUGCGGGAUCUUUAGUUGCAGCAAGUGGGCUCUUAGUUGCGGCAUGCAUGUGGAUCUAGUUCCCUGACCGGGGAUCAAACCUGGGCCCCCUGCCCUGGGAGCGUGGAGCCUUAACCACUGGACCACCAGGGACGUCCCUGUGUGGUCAUUUUUAAUUAAAUGUCACGAGGAGUCUUCAUCGUUUUUGUCAAGUCACUAGGAGUGUGCAGAUGGGCUGAGGGAAGGAGCUUGUUGGUGGGCUGCUGCCCGAGGGUGCUGUAGGGCUUCCUGAGCAGCCAGGCGCUCGCCCUCUGAGUUUUGGGGUCACUGGAGGAGUUGGAGGCCCCACCCUCAGCCUGUUGGGGAUGCUGCCCGCUGGCCCCGUGGGUGGGCCGGCCCAGGGAGGGGUGAGCAGUGGGUCCUUCUCCCCCCACAGCGUGGAUGGUGCUCUGCUGAGUCUCUCUUCAUCCUCACGCCCCUCCCAUCCCUCGUGUACGUGUGAUGCGGCAGUGACCUCGAGCUUGACCCCCUCCAGGGAUCACCUGACCCUGGGAGCAUCUGGUUGGGAGAGCCUCUCUGGGGACCUGGUGGCGGCCGUAGCCAGUGCCGCCCUGGUGGAGGGGGCUGACUGUCCGCAUAACUGCGGACAAGGCCCAGGUGCCUGGGGAGUUCUGUGGGUCGGCACCCCUUCCUCGGUGCGCCCUGCAGAGGCGGGCCAAGGUGGAGAGGGAGGACGCUGCCUCGGGGCUCGGACCUGCGGGCGGCUCUGAAAACAUAGACUCUGACCUUUAAUUCCCAGGAUGGUCCUUUCCUCUGCGGGGUCCUCUGGGAAUGACUGUGCCCAGGAAACGCUGGCCUGUGCCUGGGGUGGGACGCCCUGAUAGUGAGCAAAGAUGGGGUCUCUACCUGGGCUCAGUUUGGGUGGGUAGCGGUGGCUCCAAUGAUGAUGGGGUCUCAGGCCUGCCCGCCCGUUGGAAACGUCGGGGAGCCGGGGUGCCGUCCUCCCCGGGUGGGUCUCCAACAGCCGGGCUGGUCUGAGGUACUCCCACUGCCCCGCCCGGCGUGAGAAGCCUAUCCCGGCGGGGGCCUCGCAGCUGCACACUCCGCCCUUGGUCACUGGACUUAGUGACCCCUGCCCCAGCGUCAGGCUCAGGACCCCCAGUGUGUUUGAGCCCUGCGCGACGUCAGUGAGCGGGUCUGUCCCCAGGACCUCACUCAUCCCAGGCUGGGGUCUACCCUCUGCCAGGCAUGGCGGAGGGGACGCCGGGUGGGAGGUGGCAGGCUCGGGACACGCGCACGUGGAAGGGAGAGAGGCAGCGGUGCGGAGCUGCACGUGGAGCCCGCGUCGUGGGGCUCUAGGCUGGGGGGUGGGGGAGGAGGGCAGGCUUCUGGGCCAGGAUUUAAUUUUCCCCCGGACUUCCCGUCUCCUCUCAGAAGGGGUUCCAGGUGGCUGCGAGGCGGGCUUGGUGCGUGGAAUGGCAGUCCCCGCCCCGAGCAGCGGCUGGGUCACGCGGCAGGGCUGACUUGCUGUGUCUGGGAGGCUCGGGGGUCAGACACGGCACGCGCGGCCUGACAUCUCAGGGAGCCUGUCCUUGGCGGAAGUGGCCGGGGAGCUGGACAGGGAGACGCUGCAGAAGCUGAAGCGGGAGUGCGGGGGCCUGCAGACGCUGCUGAGGAACAGCUCGCAGGUGUUCCAAG